rnacentral:rRNA from 1 species
CCUANGGGUGGCUGCAGUAACGAAUCUUCGGCAAUGGGCGCAAGCCUGACCGAGCGAUGCCGCGUGCGGGAUGAAGCUCUUCGGAGUGUAAACCGCUGUCAGGGGCUACCAAGCAAAGGGACCUAAUACGUCCCGGCGUUGAGGAGCCCCAGAGGAAGCCACGGCUAACUUCGUGCCAGCAGCCGCGGUAAUACGAAGGUGGCUAGCGUUGUUCGGAAUUACUGGGCUUAAAGAGUACGUAGGCGGGCCUGAAAGCGCCUUGUGAAAUCCCUCGGCUCAACCGGGGAACUGCUGGGCGAACUACAGGUCUUGAGGCAGGUAGAGGUGCGUGGAACUCUUGGUGGAGCGGUGAAAUGCGUAGAUAUCAAGAGGAACGCCGGAGGCGAAAGCGGCGCACUGGGCCUGUCCUGACGCUGAGGUACGAAAGCCAGGGGAGCAAACGGGAUUAGAUACCCUANUANUC